GGCUCUGUGGCGCAAUGGAUAGCGCAUUGGACUUCUAGUGACGAAUAGAGCAAUUCAAAGGUUGUGGGUUCGAAUCCCACCAGAGUCG
rfam:Homo sapiens chromosome 17, GRCh38 reference primary assembly.